AUUGAACGCUGGCGGCAUGCUUUACACAUGCAAGUCGAACGGCAGCGCGGGCUUCGGCCUGGCGGCGAGUGGCGAACGGGUGAGUAAUGCAUCGGAACGUGCCCAGUAGUGGGGGAUAGCCCGGCGAAAGCCGGAUUAAUACCGCAUACGACCUGAGGGUGAAAGCGGGGGACCGAAAGGCCUCGCGCUAUUGGAGCGGCCGAUGUCGGAUUAGCUAGUUGGUGGGGUAAAGGCUUACCAAGGCGACGUUCCGUAGCUGGUCUGAGAGGACGACCAGCCACACUGGGACUGAGACACGGCCCAGACUCCUACGGGAGGCAGCAGUGGGGAAUUUUGGACAAUGGGGGCAACCCUGAUCCAGCCAUGCCGCGUGCGGGAAGAAGGCCUUCGGGUUGUAAACCGCUUUUGUUCGGGAAGAAAUCCUCUGGGCUAAUACCCCGGGGGGAUGACGGUACCGGAAGAAUAAGCACCGGCUAACUACGUG
rnacentral:rRNA from 1 species